CACCCGAGACUCAGUGAAAUUGAACUCGCUGUGAAGAUGCAGUGUACCCGCGGCAAGACGGAAAGACCCCGUGAACCUUUACUAUAGCUUGACACUGAACAUUGAGCCUUGAUGUGUAGGAUAGGUGGGAGGCUUUGAAGUGUGGACGCCAGUCUGCAUGGAGCCGACCUUGAAAUACCACCCUUUAAUGUUUGAUGUUCUAACGUUGACCCGUAAUCCGGGUUGCGGACAGUGUCUGGUGGGUAGUUUGACUGGGGCGGUCUCCUCCUAAAGAGUAACGGAGGAGCACGAAGGUUGGCUAAUCCUGGUCGGACAUCAGGAGGUUAGUGCAAUGGCAUAAGCCAGCUUGACUGCGAGCGUGACGGCGCGAGCAGGUGCGAAAGCAGGUCAUAGUGAUCCGGUGGUUCUGAAUGGAAGGGCCAUCGCUCAACGGAUAAAAGGUACUCCGGGGAUAACAGGCUGAUACCGCCCAAGAGUUCAUAUCGACGGCGGUGUUUGGCACCUCGAUGUCGGCUCAUCACAUCCUGGGGCUGAAGUAGGUCCCAAGGGUAUGGCUGUUCGCCAUUUAAAGUGGUACGCGAGCUGGGUUUAGAACGUCGUGAGACAGUUCGGUCCCUAUCUGCCGUGGGCGCUGGAGAACUGAGGGGGGCUGCUCCUAGUACGAGAGGACCGGAGUGGACGCAUCACUGGUGUUCGGGUUGUCAUGCCAAUGGCACUGCCCGGUAGCUAAAUGCGGAAGAGAUAAGUGCUGAAAGCAUCUAAGCACGAAACUUGCCCCGAGAUGAGUUCUCCCUGACUCCUUGAGAGUCCUGAAGGAACGUUGAAGACGACGACGUUGAUAGGCCGGGUGUGUAAGCGCAGCGAUGCGUUGAGCUAACCGGUACUAAUGAACCGUGAGG
rnacentral:rRNA from 1 species